rnacentral:lncRNA from 1 species
GAAUGCCACCUCCCUGUCAGUCCUGAAGAACCAAUCCCUGCGUUUUGUUUAUGUGACUGACAGCAACCCACCUGCCAGGCUGAGCUGGACCUGGGAAGGCCAAGCCCUGAAUCUCUCCCAGUCGUCAGAAUCAGCCGUCCUGGAGCUGCCCCCAGUGGAGUCUUGUGAUGGAGGGGAAUUUGUCUGCCAAGCUCAGCACCCUUUGGGCUCCCAGCAUGUCUCCAUUAGCCUCUCUGUGCAGAGUGAGCCUGGGUUUCACACUGAUUAGGGGAAUCCUCAUGGGGACCAGCUGCACAUUCAUCUGUGGAUUCACCUGGAUCUGCUGCACU